GUUUGAUUAGCUCAGUGGUGGAGCAUCCGAGUUGAUCGGUUGACGUAGGUUCAAAUCUUAACAUCAAACUCCC
rnacentral:tRNA from 4 species